CCCAACCCCAAAGCACACAAAAAGAUAGCUCUCACCCCCACCUCUAGGAGAAACCUGGGUCUGCCUGGGAAUCUUCCCCUGAGAAUCCUCCUCUCUAAUGCUCAGCCAUGCCAUGCUUAUGCAUGUACCACCCUCGGCACCCGGAACCGAAGGCCCACAGGGCAGUGAGGCUGGCAUAUCCAGUAUCCAGACAAGGAUAGACAGUGGACACCUAUUCUUUCUACUUAACCCCUCUCUCCUCAAGCGCUCCAGUCCUUCGCCUAUAGCCAAAGCUAUCCUAAGACUCCUCAACGGAAGUGAUAGGGCUGUGUUGGGACCUUGGCCUUCUGCACUUUCCCAGAAAUGAGGGACACCUGCUACCUUUAGCAAACCUCCAGGCUGUGGGAACUGAAAGGAGGAGGGAGCCAUUCCUGACACCCUCCAUCUGUACCCUCACCAUUACUCAUUAGGCAUUCUGCCCCCUCCUUCCGCUCGUUAAGCCUUAUUUGCAUAUAUUUGCAUAAUACAGUUCAUUUGCAUUGCAGGAGGCUCAUGGUAGAAGCCAGGAAAAAAGAGGUGGGGGGGGGGUGGAGAAGAGAAAAAGGGAGAGAUUUUGUUUUCAUCAAAGUGUGGGGGGAGAGCUGGGGGGGAGGUGGCAGGAAGAGGCUAGAAAUAAAAACUCAUACUACUUUCUUUCUUCCCUCUUGCCCUCCCUCCCUGGGUUGGACUCAGAUGCCAAAGAGAGAUGCCAAGGGGCUGACUUUUCUGUCCUUUUUUUCUCUUGCUUCCUCUGGCCUUGGCUCCUCCGUCGGGGCCCCCCACCUUGUCGGAAUCAGGCUUCAGAAAGAAAGCCCGGUAGGACGCGAGGCUGUGGGAAUGGAAACAUAGGAAGAGGGAGGCCGCCAUCUUAGGUAGCUGGUGUUUAUAAAAUGGCCGCCUCUGAGCGACGUGGGCUGAGAGCCAAGCCUGGGCGGUGGACACGAAGGAGAACACCGCCACAGGGAAGGAUUUCCUGGCUGACCAGGAAUAGACCUGAACAUUACUAUCAGUGAAAUUAAAAAGGGAGAUAAAGAGGCAGGGAGAGGUGGGGAGGGGGUGUUCCCAGAACUAUGAGGUUCAGCAUCGAAGCAGGAUGACGGAGAAGAAUCAUCACUGGGUACAGAUCCCAGAGGACUCAAGACUGUGGGUGAUGUCAAAGGCCUCUGGGUCAGCCAGCUCCACACUGAGGUGUCAGCGCCUGGUGUCUCCCUUGUGGUCACUUCGGUCAUUUCAACCAUCUGUUGAAGUCGGCAAGCUCUUUGGAUGCCUCGUUCGUGCCAGGCUGGAAGAGACUCCCACGGCCCUGUAGAAUCUAGCAGGAAAGCAGACACAACUCACCUCCGGCCAGCGGUUGCCCUGCGAGAAGCCCAGUGGCUUCCUGGAGGACACCGAUAGAGCAGUAAAGCAAGGCCCUCUCCUUGUUCUCCAGAGCAGCAUGAGCCAGGCACUGUGGAAUCUCUGCUCAGGGAAAUGUAUGAGGACCUGUAAGCCCUGGUCCACAGCCUUCCAGCCUGAUUCUCUGGUCCUGGGCACGGUCAGCAGCCAAAGAAGACCUGACCUCACCCUGCGCUCCCCUUCGAGGCGAAGUGUGUUCCCAGACUAAGAAAGGGCUAGCUCCGGCAAGCAGAAAUGGACAGAGGCAGAGGUGCCGCCUGACAGCUUCUCCCCAGAGCCAUGGAAUGAGGGCCUUGCUUACCCGGUCACUUCCAGCAAGCUGUCC